CAGUCGAACGAGGUUCAGUUGAUAGCAAUAUCAGCGAAGAUCUAGUGGCGAACGGGUGCGUAACACGUGAGGAACUUGUCCCGGUCUCUGGGAUAACAGUUGGAAACGACUGCUAAUACCGGAUGACGUCGGAGCGUCGCAUGGCGCGCUGACGAAAGGGUUACUGGAUCGGGAGAGCCUCGCGGCCUAUCAGCUUGUUGGUGGGGUAACGGCCUACCAAGGCAUCGACGGGUAGCUGGUCUGAGAGGAUGAUCAGCCACACUGGGACUGAGACACGGCCCAGACUCCUACGGGAGGCAGCAGUGGGGAAUCUUGCGCAAUGGGCGAAAGCCUGACGCAGCAACGCCGCGUGCGGGAAGAAGGCUCUCGGGUUGUAAACCGCUUUCAGAAGGAACGAAACUGACGGUACUUUCAGAAGAAGGUGCGGCCAACUACGUGCCAGCAGCCGCG
rnacentral:rRNA from 1 species